rnacentral:rRNA from 1 species
AAAUGAAUAGACGGGGGCCCGCACAAGCGGAGGAGCAUGUGGUUUAAUUCGAUGAUACGCGAGGAACCUUACCCGGGCUUGAAUUGCAGAGGAAUAUAUUGGAAACGAUAUAGCCGCAAGGUCUCUGUGAAGGUGCUGCAUGGUUGUCGUCAGCUCGUGCCGUGAGGUGUUAGGUUAAGUCCUGCAACGAGCGCAACCCUUACAUUCAGUUGCCAGCAUGUUAUGAUGGGGACUCUGGAUGAACUGCCUACGCAAGUAGUGAGGAAGGUGGGGAUGACGUCAAAUCAGCACGGCCCUUAUGUCCGGGGCUACACACGUGCUACAAUGGUGAUUACAGAGGGACGCUUUAUGGCAACAUUAUUGCAAAUCUCAAAAGAUCAUCUCAGUUCGGAUUGGAGUCUGUAACUCGACUCUAUGAAGUUGGAUUCGCUAGUAAUCGCGCAUCAGCCAUGACGCGGUGAAUACGUUCCCGGGCCUUGUACACACCGCCCGU